UUAUUUUAGGUUAUUAGUUUGCUAUUAUAUACAAUUAUCCCUUUUAUUUAUUUAUCAUUUAUUGUAAGAAUUUUAGGACAUGUGAAGAAAUGGGCCUAAGGCUCGAAACAAAAAAAACGAAAUGGGUCCAUAUACCGAUCCAGGCGGACAGAAACUGGAUUUGGACCCAACUCUCUCUCUCUCUUAUUAUGCAUAUUGUUGGUGUGACAUUUUAAUAUUAAUAAAAAUGCAUAUCAUAUGUCACAUUAUAUAUCAUGUUAUGUCUAUUGAUAGACAUUACAUUUGUGCCUCUUACUCUCAUCAAUUUUGGAAAAAAAUGGUCAUUAGUUUUUAGUAACUUAUGUACCACCAACUCUUCAUUUCAUUCAUUAUUCUAUAUUUAUGUCUUGUAACUUAUGUAACAUUUAAGCCAUUCACUUGACAAAUUUACUACCCACUAUCUCCUAUCCAUUGCAAGGAAGAAUUUAUCACCUAUAAAUAGUGUAGUCUUCAUUUGUGUUGAGAUAGGAGAAGAAACAAGAGAAGUACAAGAAAAUAUAUAGUGAAAACGAUGAGUGGUUUAUAUUGAGGUUAGUGUAGUUAAAGAGAGAGUUGAAACAUAAAAAAUAUUCUAAGUCUUCAACUAUAUUCACUAUACAAAAGAGAGUAUUAUAUGUUGAAGGAAUGUGUUCUUUUGUGGAGCUUUGGACUCUUCAACUAAUCCGGAGUUGCUUGAGUUAUACACUGUUGUUGGGCUGUUGUAUCCUGGAAGAGACAAGUCAAGAGUAUUACUUCUGGAUCGGUGUAUAUUAUGCCGCAGUGGGCUUGAAUCACUUUAAAGAGAGCGAGAUAUCCGUGCCUCAGCCUAAAUAUUUAUUUCUUCAUUUUAUUUUCAAUUAUAAUCUUGCAAUAUUAUUAUAUAGUAUGUUUUUUCACUAACAAUUUUAAGGAGAUUCAUGUUUUGUUACAGUUUGAAAAAAAUGCGGAUAUCAAGAUAGGGAUCUCAACAUCAUUCCGCUCAAACGUCGCUCUCUUCUAGAGAUGGAAGAGAAGAGGUGUACGGUAAAAUAUUUUUCUACUUGCUCAAAAGUGUAGAAAAAGGUAAAGAAAAAAAAAGUUUUUACCUAGUAUUUUCAUGAAUAAAGUGAAUCUACUUUUCAUGGAAAAAAAUUAUGUUUGAAUUCUUGAAAUAGUCGGGGUAUAUGAAAUGAGAAAAAAAAUCAUUGUUAAAUUGUGAAUUUUGCAUCUUUGACAAAUGCUCUAAAAGAGUGUUACAAGAGCAAAUAUAUUUAUUGUGGAAUAAAUCAGAUGUCAUUUUUUGGCUAUAAUGUGAAGAUUUUUAGCUCUAACAUGAGAGUUUUAAAUAAAUUUAUUAAAACUAUUUUGAGUUUUCAUUUAACAUAGAAUUUUAUGGUGAGAUAAAUUUCAUUCUUGAGAUGAAAAAAAUAUACAUAUACCAUAAAACAUGUGAUGAAGUUUUCCUCGUCAAGUAUCAUAAUAUGGAAAUAAUUGUGAAAUGCAAUUUUGUUGGUUGUGUUAGUCUUGAAACUCCUUUUGAUUCAAUUGUGUAAGAAAGUUGUGACAAAUAAAAGCAAAUGGAGUUUGCUAGUCUAAUAAAAAUAUGAGCUAUGUGAUUAACAACUUGACUUUAAAUUGUGUUUGCAGUACAAGUACUUUGAAGGUACAAACAAACUGGAUGAGAAAAAAUUAAGCGUUAUUUGGUGGGAUGAAAAAGCAAAUACUUUUUGCUAUCUCUAUUAUGAAGGUUGAAGUAAAAAAAAUAAUUAAACUUCAACCAGUGAAAAAAUUCAUGAACUAAGGCCUUAGCAAAAUAAAGAGUCUGAAGCACAUCGAGGGGGAUGAAAAUUGAAGCUCAUAAAUUCUGAGUCAUAUAUGAGGAAACCCAACCUGGGGACUAGAGAUCCUAUAACCAAGUUCAAUGGGAAGAACGAAUCAUAUGAUGACUUGUUGUGAAAUGCACUACUGUUAAUUUUAUUCAAUCACUAUGAUGUGAGUGCAUUUAUCCUAUAAUUAUUUGUGGAGGUUGAGUCUUUAAACUCUUAAUGAAAGUCUGUAUCUCGUAUGAGUGGGGUGUCAAAUUAUUGGAGCACCCUUGACAUAUUUCACCUAUGUGAGUGUGAAAGUAGGUCACUUUCUAUGAGAAUGGGCUUGUUCUAAAAAACACUCAAGAAACCGGGAUAGCAAAAGGUCGUAACGUGCUGGCUAUUAUAGCUUAUGUCAACACUUUGAUUAUUGUGUGUAAGCAGUAAUUCUUUAUUUCCCUUAUGUAGUCAUAGUUCAAGUCUGAGACCACUACUGACUCUGGAGUAAAGGUUAUUGUUUUACUAAGUGAAGGUUCAAUGCAGAGCACACCUUCAUUAUGCAUAAUAGUCUACCUUCAACUAACUUGUGGAAAAACUCUUUUAUCUUAAUAUUAAAAUGAGUGGGGGAUUGUUGGUGGGA